rnacentral:misc_RNA from 1 species
UCAAACUUGGUCAUUUAGAGGAAGUAAAAGUCGUAACAAGGUCUCCGUUGGUGAACCAGCGGAGGGAUCAUUAAAGAGUUGCAAAACUCCUUAAACCCAUUGUGAACUUACCUUUGUCGUUGCUUCGGCGGGUAGCCCCAGGGCGGGGCUUCGCCUAUUUUUUAGGUGCCCGCCGAACGCUUUCUAAACUCUUGUUAUUUUUGAUACUCUGAGUUAUAAUUUAAAAUAAGUCAAAACUUUCAACAACGGAUCUCUUGGUUCUGGCAUCGAUGAAGAACGCAGC